rnacentral:rRNA from 1 species
CAUGAAGCCGGAAUCGCUAGUAAUCGCGGAUCAGAAUGCUGCGGUGAAUACGUUCCCGGGUCUUGUACACACCGCCCGUCACACCAUGGGAGUUGGAAAUGCCCGAAGCCAGUGACCCAACCGUAAGGAGGGAGCUGUCGAAGGUGGAGCCGAUGACUGGGGUGAAGUCGUAACAAGGUAUC